GAUCCUGGCUCAGGAUGAACGCUAGCGACAGGCUUAACACAUGCAAGUCGAGGGGCAGCGAGGGAGUGGCAACACUUCUGUCGGCGACCGGCGCACGGGUGAGUAACGCGUAUGCAACCUGCCCUUCACAGGGGGGAUAACCGGGAGAAAUUCCGACUAAUACCGCAUACGUCCUUUGGGGGCACUCCCCGUGGGGAUGAAAGAGUUAUCGGUGAAGGAUGGGCAUGCGUGAUAUUAGGUAGUUGGCGGG
rnacentral:rRNA from 1 species